rnacentral:rRNA from 1 species
UCAAGCGUUUAAGAGCAUAUAGUGGAUGCCUUGGCACUGAAAGUCGAUGAAGGACGUGAUAAACUGCGAUAAGUUUCGGGGAGCUGUUUGUAGGCUUUGAUCCGGAAAUUUCCGAAUGGGAAAACCCAACUCUUUAAGAGUUACCUUGCACUGAAUACAUAGGUGUAAGGAGAUAACCUAGGGAACUGAAACAUCUAAGUACCUAGAGGAAAAGAAAUCAAUUGAGAUUCCGUUAGUAGUGGCGAGCGAACGCGGAACAGGCCAGUAACUUUUUUUGUACAACUAGAAUAACCUGGAAAGGUUAACCAUAGAGGGUGAUAGUCCCGUAUAGGUAAAAGCAAUUAAAGUUCUCGAGUAAGGCGGGACACGUGAAAUCCUGUUUGAAGAUAGGGGGACCACCCUCUAAGCCUAAAUACUCUUCAGUGACCGAUAGUGAACUAGUACCGUGAGGGAAAGGUGAAAAGAACCCCUAUUAGGGGAGUGAAAUAGAUCCUGAAACUGUAUGCUUACAAACUGUCGAAGCCCCAUGUGGGUGACGACGUACCUUUUGUAUAAUGGGUCAGUGACUUAAUUUAUGUAGCAAGCUUAAGCCGUUUAGGUGUAGGCGUAGCGAAAGCGAGUCUUAAUAGGGCGAUUAGUUACAUGGAUUAGAACCCGAAACCGAGUGAUCUAGCUAUGAGCAGGUUGAAGGCAAGGUAAUACUUGCUGGAGGACCGAACCAGUUGACGUUGAAAAGUCUUUGGAUGACUUGUUGCUAGGGGUGAAAGGCCAAUCAAACUCGGAGAUAGCUGGUUUUCCGCGAAAACUAUUUAGGUAGUGCGUUGAGAUAUAGAUUUUGAGGGGUAGAGCACUAAAUAGGCUAGGGGGAAGAAAUUCUUACUAAACCUAAUAAAACUCCGAAUACUCAAAAUUGUUCCUCAGCAGACAGACGGUGAAUGCUAACGUCCAUCGUCGAGAGGGAAACAACCCAGACCACCAAUUAAGGUCCCCAAGUUAUGGUUAAGUGUGAAAGGAUGUGAAGACUCCAAAACAGCCGGGAGGUUGGCUUAGAAGCAGCCAUCCUUUAAAGAUAGCGUAACAGCUCACCGGUCUAAUUAAGAGACUUUGCGCCUAAGAUGUAACGGGGCUCAAACCAUACACCGAAAUUGUGGAUUGAUAGAAGUCUUCGGACUUUUAUUUCUGGUAGCGGAACGUUCUGUAAGCCUGUGAAGAGAGACCCGUGAGGGCUCUUGGAGGUAUCAGAAGUGCGAAUGCUGACAUAAGUAACGACAAACAGAGUGAAAGACUCUGUCGCCGAGAGUACAAGGGUUCCUGCGUAAAGUUAAUCUUCGCAGGGUUAGCCGGCCCCUAAGACGAGGACGAAAGUCGUAGUCGAUGGGAAUCAGGUAAAUAUUCCUGAGCCAGGUGGUAGUGACGGAUCAUGUAAAUUGUUAACUCUUAUUGGAUUGAGUUGGCUGUGAAGUGGUCCCAGGAAAUAGCUCCAUCAUAAGACCGUACCCCAAACGGACACACGUGUACCGGUAGAGUAUACCUAGGCGCUUGAGAGAAUGAUGUUGAAGGAACUCGGCAAAAUGCUUCCGUAACUUCGGGAUAAGGAAGACCCAAUAAUGGGCAACCAUAUUUGGGUGGCACAAGCCAGGGAGAAGCGACUGUUUAUCAAAAACACAGCACUCUGCUAACACGUAAGUGGAUGUAUAGGGUGUGACGCCUGCCCGGUGCUGGAAGGUUAAAGGGAGAUGUGCAAGCAUCAAACUGAAGCCCCAGUGAACGGCGGCCGUAACUAUAACGGUCCUAAGGUAGCGAAAUUCCUUGACGGGUAAGUUCCGUCCUGCAUGAAUGGCGUAACGAUUUCUCCGCUGUCUCCAACAUCAACUCAGUGAAA